UGCAGCUGUGUCAAAUUCAGUGCCUGCCCAGCUCAUGGCAGACACUGGCCUAAAAGGCUGCUACAGCAACAUGUGACUCAUGGGCCCUGGUCCCCUUGCUUGGGUCUUAGGGAUAAAUUCAGUCACAGACAUUA